rnacentral:rRNA from 1 species
GCAAGGAAUUUUGCGCAAUGGGCGAAAGCCUGACGCAGCGACGCCGCGUGAGGGAUGAAGGCCUUCGGGUCGUAAACCUCUUUUCCUGAGGAAGAAUAAUGACGGUACUCAGGGAAUAAGUCUUGGCUAACUACGUGCCAGCAGCCGCGGUAAUACGUAGGAGACAAACGUUAUUCGGAUUUACUGGGCGUAAAGCGGGUGUAGACGGCUUCUUAAGUCGGUUGUGAAAUCUCCUGACUUAAUUGGGAGGAGUCAAUCGAUACUGAGAAGCUAGAGGGCAGCAGAAGAAAGCGGAAUUCCCGGUGUAGCGGUGAUAUGCGUAGAUAUCGGGAGGAAUACCAGUGGCGAAGGCGGCUUUCUAGGUUGUUCCUGACGUUGAUGCCCAAAAGCGUGGGGAGCGAAACGGAUUAGAAACCCUUGUAGUCC